CCUACGGGAGGCAGCAGUGGGGAAUAUUGGGCAAUGGGCGCAAGCCUGACCCAGCAACGCCGCGUGAAGGAAGAAGGCUUUCGGGUUGUAAACUUCUUUUCUCAGGGACGAAACAAGUGACGGUACCUGAGGAAUAAGCCACGGCUAACUACGUGCCAGCAGCCGCGGUAAUACGUAGGUGGCAAGCGUUAUCCGGAUUUACUGGGUGUAAAGGGCGUGUAGGCGGGGCUGCAAGUCAGAUGUGAAAGGCAUGGGCUCAACCUGUGGCCUGCAUUUGAAACUGUAGUUCUUGAGUGCUGGAGAGGCAGACGGAAUUCCUAGUGUAGCGGUGAAAUGCGUAGAUAUUAGGAGGAACACCAGUGGCGAAGGCGGUCUGCUGGACAGCAACUGACGCUGAGGCGCGAAAGCGUGGGGAGCAAACAGGAUUAGAUACCCCUGUAGUC
rnacentral:rRNA from 1 species